rnacentral:rRNA from 1 species
GACGAACGCUGGCGGCGUGCUUAACACAUGCAAGUCGAACGGAAAGGCCCUGCUUUUGUGGGGUGCUCGAGUGGCGAACGGGUGAGUAACACGUGAGUAACCUGCCCUUGACUUUGGGAUAACUUCAGGAAACUGGGGCUAAUACCGGAUAGGAGCUCCUGCUGCAUGGUGGGGGUUGGAAAGUUUCGGCGGUUGGGGAUGGACUCGCGGCUUAUCAGCUUGUUGGUGGGGUAGUGGCUUACCAAGGCUUUGACGGGUAGCCGGCCUGAGAGGGUGACCGGCCACAUUGGGACUGAGAGACGGACCAGACUGCAACGGGAGGCAGCAGUGGGGAAUAUUGCACAAUGGGCGGAAGCGUGAUGCAGCAACGCCGCGUGCGGGAUGACGGCCUUCGGGUUGUAAACCGCUUUCGCCUGUGACGAAGCGUGAGUGACGGUAAUGGGUAAAGAAGCACCGGCUAACUACGUG